rnacentral:rRNA from 1 species
CGGUAAUUCCAGCUCCAAUAGCGUAUACUAAAGUUGUUGCAGUUAAAAAGCUCGUAGUUGGAUUUCUGCGGGGACGGAGCGGCCGGUCGCAACUUGCGACUCGAGCAAGCGCUUUCCCCGCAUCCUGCCGCGAACCGUGCUACCAUUAGUUUGGUGGCGCUGGGGAUCGGCUUGAUUACUUUGAGAAAAAUAGAGUGUUCAAAGCAGGCCACACGCCUUGAAUAAGUUAGCAUGGAAUAAUGACUAAGGACUUUGGUUCUUUUCGUUGGUGUUCGGGACUGAAGUAAUGAUUGAUAGGGACAGUUGGGGCGGUCCGUAUUCCAAAGCGAGAGGUGAAAUUCUUAGACCUUCGGAAGACGAACAGCUGCGAAAGCGUUCCGCAAGGAUGUUCCCUUUGAUCAAGAACGAAAGUUGGGGGAUCGAAGACGAUCAGAUACCGUCGUAGUCUCAACUAUAAACUAUACCAGCUAGGGAUCGGCCAACGUUUAAUUUAUCGACUUGGUCGGCACCUUAUGAGAAAUCAAAGCAUCUGGGUUCCGGGGGGAGUAUGGUCGCAAGGCUGAAACUUAAAGGAAUUGACGGAAGGGCACCACCAGCCGUGGAGCCUGUGGCUUAAUUUGACUCAACACGGGAAAACUUACCAGGUCCAGACAUAGGAAGGAUUGACAGAUUGAUAGCUCUUUCUUGAUUCUGUGGGUGGUGGUGCAUGGCCGUUUUUAGUCGGUGGAUGUGAUCUGUCUGCUUAAUUGCGUUAACGGACGAGACCCCAGCCUGCUAAAUAGCGCGGCCGAGCUUUGCUCGGUGCGAGCUUCUUAGAGGGACCAUGAUGCGCGAUAGCACAAGGAAGUUUGGGGCAACAACAGGUCUGUGAUGCCCUUAGAUGUUCUGGGCCGCACACGGGCUACACUGGCGCCUGCAACGAGCAUAUCAGCUGGCCCGAGAGGGUCUUGGCUAAUCUUUGGAACCGGCGCCGUGCUUGGGAUUGACCAUUGCAAUUGUUGGUCAUGCAACGAGGAAUGCCUUGUAAACGCGAGUCAUCAGCUCGCAUUGAAUACGUCCCUGCCCUUUGUACACACCGCCCGUCGCUCCUACCGAUGAAUGUUCCGAUGAAAUUUUCGGAGAGCACCAGAGAACGGGGCUCCGCCUUGCAGAUCUGGAGGCUCAAAGUCACUUAAAUCUGAACAUUUCGAGGAAGGAGAAGUCGUAACAAGGUAGCCG